CAAUUCACCUCCGGAUAUUAUACCUACAACAAGCAACAACAAGCUCAUAUUUAAACUAUUAUAAAUGCAGUUUGUUAAAAUCCUCCCUAGGCUACAGCCCACUGUAGCCGUGGGUGUAGCUCCGCCAGACUUACGGUCUUGUGCUGGGGCUGUUUCGAUGACGAUCAGGCCGCAGGAGGGGCAGAGGGAGGGUUCCCAAGCUGAUUAGAGACUGACAAGCUAUCCAUCUUGAGAUGGACCAUAUUGUUUAUCUUUUGUUGAGGAAAUGGAGAUAGGUCUUGAAGCGGACGAUCAGAAAGAUUAAAUUUACACGCUCCUCCCACGCACCGCCGGUAGAGAAGUAAAGGAAGAGAGAGCUUAGUCUGCUUAUUUCGAUUCAAAUGUUAGUUUAGUUUUUAAGCUGUAGACUGAUACAAUCUUAUCUCAUUCUCUCUCUCUCUCUCUCUCUCUCUCUCUCUCUUAAGAUUCAAAGUGUGUGUUUCUUUCAGGAGUGUUGUUGUAGCACCUGACUGUUGAAUAUAUUAUUGUUAUUGUUGGCAAA